GGUGUCAUUACUCAGUGGUACAAGAGUGCGUGCAUGCGUGUUGGGGGGGGAAUAAUUGUGCCAUUAAUGAUUGCUAUUUUGAUUACAGGAUGCAAUUGUCACUGCGGUUGGAAGCCAAUCAACGCGUUGUGAGUGGGAACCUGCUGGUACUUUCCAAUGGUCCUUGAUUAAAAAGGAAGCUCUUGGCUAUCUUCAAGCAGCAGGAGAGGAAACAGCGCGGCGAAGGAUUUGGAGGACUGGGAGAAGGCAGCAAAAUGCUUCUGCUCCGGCGAUCAGGGACGACGUGGUGGCCACAGAUGUCAGUUGAGAGUUGUUUUAUAAAAUGAAUCUCUGUAAGCUGCUGCUCUACGGGGAUGGAACAAGAACAGAAGAGCCGUGAAUUCAAGGCCAUCUUGGGAUGAUUUUUCUAGGACAUGGAGUCUCUGCAGUGCCAAGGGACCUCGAUUAGCCCGAACAGCUAAAGCAUUCCAUCUAACGAGUCUCUGCUCUAAUGCAGGCAUAAGAAUUCAGGACAUUUAUCUGUAGGAAUUCAUCAAGCUGAACCUGGAACUAUUGCUUCAGCAGUAGCUACACAAAACUGAGAAAAGAAGGAAGCUGCUAUACGCCAUCUACUUAUGGAAGAAAACAUCCUUUGAUUCUACAUCUUCUGAAGGAGUGAUAAACUUUAAAAUCAUGAAGCUACAUUCAGAAGUUCUUACGCCAAGACUGCAUGUGUGCUAGUACCACUGAAAUCAGUAGGAGUCAUUUCAGUGUUUCAAAAUCAGCUUUUAUUCAAAAUCAGGAUUUUUUUCCCCUCUUCCUUUAAGGAAAAAAAAAAAAUUUUUUGUUUUCCAACCCAUGUGUUAACUUGUCAGAUCAGUUGU
rnacentral:lncRNA from 1 species